rnacentral:rRNA from 1 species
GACGAACGCUGGCGGCGUGCUUAACACAUGCAAGUCGAACGGAAAGGCCCUGCUUUUGUGGGGCGCUCGAGUGGCGAACGGGUGAGUAACACGCGAGUAACCUGCCCUUGACUUUGGGAUAACUUCAGGAAACUGGGGCUAAUACCGGAUAGGAGCUCCUGCUGCAUGGUGGGGGUUGGAAAGUUUCGGCGGUUGGGGAUGGACUCGCGGCUUAUCAGCUUGUUGGUGGGGUAGUGGCUUACCAAGGCUUUGACGGGUAGCCGGCCUGAGAGGGUGACCGGCCACAUUGGGACUGAGAUACGGCCCAGACUCCUACGGGAGGCAGCAGUGGGGAAUAUUGCACAAUGGGCGGAAGCCUGAUGCAGCAACGCCGCGUGCGGGAUGACGGCCUUCGAGUUGUAAACCGCUUUCGCCUGUGACGAAGCGUGAGUGACGGUAAUGGGUAAAGAAGCACCGGCUAACUACGUG